GACGACGGGUAGCCGGCCUGAGAGGGUGAACGGCCACACUGGAACUGAGACACGGUCCAGACUCCUACGGGAGGCAGCAGUGGGGAAUAUUGGGCAAUGGGGGGAACCCUGACCCAGCGACGCCGCGUGAGGGAAGACGGCCUUCGGGUUGUAAACCUCUUUUGUAUGGGAAGAAGGAUGUGACGGUACCAUACGAAUAAGUCCCGGCUAACUACGUGCCAGCAGCCGCGGUAAUACGUAGGGGACGAGCGUUGUCCGGAAUUACUGGGCGUAAAGGGCGCGCAGGCGGUUUGUCAAGUCAGCUGUUAAAAAUGGGGGCUUAACCCUCAUAUGCUGUUGAAACUGGCAGACUGGAGUGCUGUAGAGGCAAGUGGAAUUCCCAGCGUAGCGGUGAAAUGCGUAGAUAUUGGGAAGAAUACCGGUGGCGAAGGCGACUUGCUGGGCAGCAACUGACGCUGAGGCGCGAAAGCCAGGGGAGCAAACGGGAUUAGAUACCCCGGUAGUCCUGGCCGUAAACGAUGAAUGCUAGGUGUGGGUGUAGAGAUACAUCCGUGCCGGAGCUAACGCGAUAAGCAUUCCGCCUGGGGAGUACGGUCGCAAGAUUGAAACUCAAAGGAAUUGACGGGGGGCCCGCACAAGCGGUGGAGCACGUGGUUUAAUUCGAUGCAACCCGAAGAACCUUACCUGGGUUUGACAUGUACGUGGUACGGAGAUGAAAGUUGAAAGGACUCCGCCUUUCGGGUGGAGAAGCGUACACAGGUGCUGCAUGGCUGUCGUCCAGCUCGUGUCGUGAGAAUGUUGGGUUA
rnacentral:rRNA from 1 species